UAUUUUAAUAGCUUAUUAAAUAAAGCAUAAUAUUGAAGAUAUUAAGAAGAUAGAUUUAUCUUAAAAUAU
rnacentral:tRNA from 1 species